rnacentral:piRNA from 1 species
CUAACUUCAAUAAAACCACUGGAC